rfam:Triticum aestivum genome assembly, contig: Triticum_aestivum_CS42_TGACv1_scaffold_376471_5AL
UUAAUACUCCCUCCGUUCGGAAAUACUUGUCCCAGAAAUAAAUAAAAUGAAUGUAUCUAUAAUUAAAAUAAAUCUAGAUACAACCAUUUUGAGGACAAGUAUUUCCGGACAAAGGGAAUAUUAG